GACUCGGUAGCUAAGCCGGUAAAGCACUUGUGUUGCACAUACGGACGGGUCGUGAGUUAAAAUCUCACUUGAGCUG
rnacentral:tRNA from 1 species